GGCACAACUGACUGGCUGUCAAUGACCGUCUUUGGCCAAAGCAUACUCACCACCUAGCGGAUGUGCUGGUUCUUGCACCAGCUGUACCGCCGUCAAUGAAAUUCACCAAAAU